rnacentral:misc_RNA from 1 species
UCAAAUUCCUCAGUUUCCCCAAUUGCUCCCCCUUUCAACACUGUAACUUCAUCAAAAUCCACUUCCAAUUUCGCCUCCUCUGCACAAUCCCCCAUCUUCCCAGACUCAGCUAACCCUAAUUCACAGGUCUUCUCUUCUUCAGGAAAGAUCCCUCCUUUCUCACCAGAACCGACUGAAUCUUCAACCGUCGACUCCGAAAACCUCGCAUCCUCAUCGGAGACGUCUUUUUUUGGUAUCCGAUCGCCGGAAUCGAAGGUGAAAUAGUCGAGCUUGAUGGCGUCUGAUUCGGGAUCGAAUUCUUCAAAGGGGGUGGGGGAAUUUGGAGAGUUGGGGAGCAAUUCCCAAUCGGAAAGCUCACCGGAGUCUGACAUCAACGGUGGGCGGCGGCGGCGAGGGCGGCGGCGGAGACGGGGGAGGGAAAGGCG